AAACUCUGGGCUUUCUUCAGUUAACGUACAAAUCUUUCGCCUUUUACUAAAGAUUUCCGUGGAGAAGGCCAAUUUAAUGAGUAUUUAUCAAUUUUUCUCAGGCCUGCCAACGCGGGCCG